UUUAGUUUUCUAUAACCAAAGCAACAAUCCAAACCCUAAUAUCCUUUCUUCAUAAACCAGCCGCCACCCGAUUCUCCUCUCUCUCUUACUUCGAAAACACUGCAGGAACAAAAAAAAAAUCAAACUCUUAAAAAUGAAUUCAAUCACCAAUUCUUUUACUCAACUGCUCCGAUUCGAAGACCUUCUUGUGGUUUAUGUGUCUCUAGUUGAUUGUGAAGUGGUGGUAGAUGGGUCGUCGGCCCGGAGAUGGUGUAAAGAUGCGGCGGAGUUGUGGUGUUGACCGGAACGGUUGUGGUGUCUCGAGGGUGGUGGCUCGAGGUUGUCGUAGGAAGUGAAUCGGAGGUCCGGGAAGCAGAAUAAGGAGAAGUAUGAUGUUAGAAGUCAGAGGUGGUGCAGGAACCGAGGGGACGGCGGCGACAGGCGGUGACCGGUGGUUUACGGUGAAGUGGUGGUGUUUGAACAAUUUAUUACGGUUGUGAGUGAUGAUGAUGAUGGUGGGAAGUGUGGUAGCCGGAGAUGGUUCUUGAUACAGAUCUGGGUUUUGUUUGAUAUUUGUUCUUGAAGAUCUGAGCUUUUUUUUUUAAUUAAUAAAUAAAAACUGAAUCUAUUUC
rnacentral:lncRNA from 1 species